GGGAUCACACAAGCGGUGGAGCAUGUUGUUUAAUUCGAAGCAACGCGAAGAACCUUACCAGGCCUUGACAUGUACGGAUUAGCUCCCUGAAAGGGGAGUGACAGCUCUUCGGAGUCGGAACGUACACAGGUGUUGCAUGGCUGUCGUCAGCUCGUGCCGUGAGGUGUUGGGUUAAGUCCCGUAACGAGCGAAACCCUUAUCGUUAGUUGCCAGCGGGUAAUGCCGGGGACUCUAGCGAGACUGCCGUUGUCAAAACGGAGGAAGGUGGGGACGACGUCAAGUCAUCAUGGCCCUUAUGGCCUGGGCUACAAACGUGCUACAAUGGUCCGUACAAUGGGUACCCAAGUCGCGAGACGGAGGCAAUCCCAUCAAAGCGGGCCCCAGUUCGGAUUGCAGGCUGCAAUUCGCCUGCAUG
rnacentral:rRNA from 1 species